rnacentral:rRNA from 1 species
GUGUCAGCAGCCGCGGUAAUACGUAGGGGGCGAGCGUUGUCCGAAGUUACUGGGCGUAAAGCGCGCGUAGGCGGGCCGUUAAGUGGGAGGUGAAAGGCUGGGGCUCAACCCCAGCAGUGCCUCCCAUACUGGCGGUCUUGAGGGCGGUAGGGAGAAGUGGAAUGGCUGGUGUAGCGGUGAAAUGAGUAGAUAUCAGUCGGAACACCGGUGGCGAAGGCGGCUUCUUGGGCCGUUCCUGACGCUGAGGCGCGAAAGCUGGGGGAGCGAACGGGAUUAGAUACCCCAGUAGUCC